rnacentral:rRNA from 1 species
GCUUACGGCCACACCGCCUGGUUCACGCCCGAUCUCGUUUGAUCUCGGAAGAUAAGAUAGGUUGGGCCUGGUUAGUACUUGGAUGGGGAGACCGCCUGGGAAUACCAGGUGCUGUAAGGC